GGCCACCUUCUUGAAGAUGAAGCUGAUGAUAUAAUCAGUGUCCAUUGAACUCGUUAGAAACUAUAUAACAAUAAAUCUGAAGAAUCCAUUGAUAGCUGUAAAGAUAUUCAUGAAUGCCACUCAUUCAACUUCGUAUGUGCGAAUACAUAUGCAUGCACACACAGAUAGAAAUCUUCUAAUAAAUAAGCAUAGCUUGAAUAUAUAAAAUGAAAAAGGCUAGCCAUUCUUGCUGUAACAGCACCAUCUAAUUACGGCAGUUAAGGUUGGCAGCUUGAAAAAGAACUUCACUUAGCAGUUGCACAUUGCCAACUAAAAUUUCAAAUGAUAUAAAAUACUCUAACUGAAACUAUGUCAUGGGCUUAAUCUUUA
rnacentral:misc_RNA from 1 species